rnacentral:rRNA from 1 species
AGUUCGGACUGUAGUCUGCAACCCGACUACACGAAGCUGGAAUCGCUAGUAAUCGCGAAUCAGAAUGUCGCGGUGAAUACGUUCCCGGGUCUUGUACACACCGCCCGUCACACCAUGGGAGUUGGUAAUGCCCGAAGUCAGUGACCCAACCGCAAGGAGGGAGCUGCCGAAGGCAGGACUGAUAACUGGGGUGAAGUCGUAACAAGGUAAC